GAUGAACGCUGGCGGCGUGCCUAAUACAUGCAAGUCGAGCGAACGGACGAGAAGCUUGCUUCUCUGAUGUUAGCGGCGGACGGGUGAGUAACACGUGGAUAACCUACCUAUAAGACUGGGAUAACUUCGUGAAACCGGAUCUAAUACCGGAUCAUAUUUUGAACCGCAUGGUUCAAAAGUGAAAGACGGUCUUGCUGUCACUUAUAGAUGGAUCCGCGCUGCAUUAGCUAGUUGGUAAGGUAACGGCUUACCAAGGCAACGAUGCAUAGCCGACCUGAGAGGGUGAUCGGCCACACUGGAACUGAGACACGGUCCAGACUCCUACGGGAGGCAGCAGUAGGGAAUCUUCCGCAAUGGGCGAAAGCCUGACGGAGCAACGCCGCGUGAGUGAUGAAGGUCUUCGGAUCGUAAAACUCUGUUAUUAGGGAAGAACAUAUGUGUAAGUAACUGUGCACAUCUUGACGGUACCUAAUCAGAAAGCCACGGCUAACUACGUG
rnacentral:rRNA from 1 species